UACGUAGGGGUCGAGCGUUGUCCGGAAUUACUGGGCGUAAAGCGUGCGCAGGCGGUUUUGUAAGCCAGAUGUGAAAUCCCCGGGCUUAACCUGGGAAUGGCAUUUGGGACUGCAAGGCUUGAGUGCGGCAGAGGAGACUGGAAUUCCUGGUGUAGCAGUGAAAUGCGUAGAUAUCAGGAGGAACACCGAUGGCGAAGGCAGGUCUCUGGGCUGACACUGACGCUCAUGCACGAAAGCGUGGGGAGCAAACAGG
rnacentral:rRNA from 1 species